UACCAGACUCCUACGGGAGGCAGCAGUGGGGGAUAUUGCACAAUGGGGGGAACCCUGAUGCAGCGACGCCGCGUGAGGGAAGACGGCCUUCGGGUUGUAAACCUCUGUCGCAGGGGACGAAGGAGAUGACGGUACCUGGGGAGGAAGCUCCGGCUAACUACGUGCCAGCAGCCGCGGUAAUACGUAGGGAGCGAGCGUUGUCCGGAAUUACUGGGUGUAAAGGGAGCGUAGGCGGGGAUGCAAGUUGGGUGUCAAAACUACCGGCUCAACUGGUAGUCGCACUCAAAACUGCAGCUCUUGAGUGAAGUAGAGGCAGGCGGAAUUCCUAGUGUAGCGGUGAAAUGCGUAGAUAUUAGGAGGAACACCAGUGGCGAAGGCGGCCUGCUGGGCUUUUACUGACGCUGAGGCUCGAAAGUGUGGGGAGCAAACAGGAUUAGAUACCCCCGUAA
rnacentral:rRNA from 1 species